GUGUCUUAAGAAUCCUUUGUGCUCUAGGCGCCCACCGCGCCAGCCAAGGAGCGUGGGAACCCUGAGUAAGGGCUUUGCUAGGGAAAACGGUGCUGGUUCACUGGGGCGCGUUUCCGGGAAGGUGAAUACCGGUGAAAGUUAUGCUGAGGGUGAGGUAGGCUCUGACGACGCACUUGCAGGUUGAAUAUUGGCACAUCAUUUACUUGUUACUCCCGUGCGGUGAGUGCACCUGUGGGUUUUGAUGCUGGAUCAAAUUCCUGGAAAGAGGCGCGCAUUAAGACUGCGGAUUGCUGAGCUGCGCGACACUCCGUAUUUUUCCAAAACGUAUUUGUAAUAUUCUUUCAACCAGUUUGCAUAAUGGGACAUCUCUUAAAUGCAGCAAGCUUUAAUGCAUUUUUGCCAAAUAAACUCAAAAACUGACACUUGAUUCAGCUAUUGGAAAGUUUUUUAAUGUGGUUGGAACAACUGAGCCAUGUGAAAACACAAGAAGAAGGUACCGUCCUGGAAGCAGAGAGCAAACCCUUAUCAGACACGAAACCUGCUGACUCCUUUGUGUGCAGCCUCCAGAACUUUUAAGAAAUAAAUUUUUAUUAUUUAU
rnacentral:sRNA from 1 species